rnacentral:piRNA from 1 species
GAGCCAAUUUUCUCAGUUGAGGGUCC